UUAUCUUAUCUCUUCUUAUCUCGUUCUCUGCUCCUCUCUCGUUCUCUCCUCUACCAGAAAAGAAAGUUCUCUCAUAUCCCGCUAAAUAAUCAUUGAAGCCUAAAAUCUAUACCUUUGUUUGAUUUCUGAGAAAAAAACUUUUUAGGGUUUAGAUUAUUUGGGCUCAGACACCAAAUUCUUCUUUCUAUUUCAAUUUCAGACUCCAAAUCUCAUCUAAGGCUUCGGUUAAACUGAUUCAGGGUUUUGUAAAUCAAUCAAUCAUACUUUUGGAGUUAUACUAGAGGGAGGGAGGAAGGAAUUGCAGAGUAAUCAUGGAUGUUGAUUCAGAGCCAUUGAUGGACGAAACCAUUUUGGUUGGUGAUGAUUUAAGGGCUUUUUAAUAAAGUGGCCAUGUUUUUGUAAUUUAUUUCACAAAAUGGCCGUUUUUUUGAAUGUUUAUAUAAAGUGGCCGAGAUUGACCUUUUCCAUCCGUUUUUUUCAAAAAACUGUUAACAGUCGUUAAAUACACGCGUGUCAGUUAAACUCCUUAGUAAAAGACAGUUUAACCCUCGGUGAGUCAGUCUGGAUUGGUGAGUCAACUCGCCUGAGCCAUAUUCAAGCCAUUAUACUCUUCACCCGUGCACAGUCCUAGCAUACAUCUAAGUCAUUUUUGUAGCUUCUCUGCAGCACAACAACACAUUGUUUUGUUAUCUUGGACCUGCAACCCAUUGCAAUUUCAUUUCAGCUACACCGACACCUAUAAGCUCCACUAAAACCACACCAACCUUCAAUAGCACCACAAACUCAUAUACUACAAUUCCAACACCACCAGAACUACUUGAUUUCUCUUCAGCCAAGACUCAUUCAAACAAAGCCAUCCUCUUACUCUCCUUCUCAUCUUAACUGACAUCGAACCUAGUUAUAACACUAAUGUCAUCUCAGUUUCAUCUUCCUGUAAGCAACAAGAGAAACAAAUCAAACCCAUUAAUCCUUGCAUUUUGUUGAACUUAGAACCCCUGCAACAACUUCAUGAUCACAACAUGAGCCAACAGAUGCAGCCACUUCUCAUUUUCUCCCUGUAACAACCACCAAUUGCAACUGCACCUGCAAUUUCAUUUCAGCAGCAACAUCAUCUUCUUAGCCAAUCAACCACAACAACUCUUCUUCCUUUCUAAAAAACAACAACACCACAUGAGUUAUCAUCUCAGCUCAAAACUACUCACAACUUGAGCUCAACUCAAGCAACUUUUCAUAACCUGGUUAUUGCUUGGUUAACAACUAUCCAUUUUACAUCCUUGCCAGUGACUACCAACACCUGCUCAUCAUAAACUAAAGCAGCAGAACAUCAAAAUCUCUUAAUACUUGUCAAUUUGAAUUCAAGAACAAACCCAUUGCUUCAAAUCUGUCACAGAUACUCAACAACUACUUGAACUGCACUUCAAACCCUGAUUUUUGUCAAUCUCCCCAAUUUCUUUCAUGUCUUAUAUAUAUUCCAUUUCACAUCAUCUCGACAAACCCUAACUUCCUAGUUCAUCAAAAACCCAUGGAAAUCAACAUUCACAGCUUCUUCUUAUCUUCGAACACGAUCCUGCAUUUUUCUCUUCUUGAUUUCUCUUCAGCCAAGACUCAUUCUUCCUCUUUGUUCUUCUCUACAUCGAUGAUUCAAUCACAACUGCAAAUUAAGUCAAUUGAUUAAACAAAAAAAAAAAGAAAAGGAAAGAGCCCCAAACCCUAGAAUUCAAACAAUCGAAAUCAAUUGAUUUCACCAUCCAAACAUGUGUUUUCAUUAAAGACUAAGUUAAUUAACGUGUGGGUUCUAAAAUUCUUACCUGGAUUUUGAUUUCUUCAUCCCCGAUUUCAACUUCAUCUUCGAUUUGUACUUCAGCUUCGCUGCUGCAUCCAGCAAAACCCUAAAAACUUUAAAAUUGUCAAAUAUCACUAAUAAACCAUUCUUCUUCUUCUUCACUAAUAACCACAUCUUCGGUAUUGACUGCUUGUGAGAUCACUUCUAUUUUCAUCAAUCAUCCGAGUUCGAUGAGAAGAAUUGAGAUACAGAGAGAGACAAACAUAAACAAGAAGAAAUGAAUGAAAAAAAGAAUCGAUAACAUAAGGGUGAGGAUGUAGUGGUAAUUUUAAGCCCCAUGAUUGACUAAGUCAGCUUGGUGGACCAUUUUGGUGGGACCAGGUGUUAUAUCUAACAGAAAGGCCACUUUAUAAAAGAUUUAAAUUUUUUGGCCGGUUUAUUAAAUAUAUGGUAGGAAGCUGGACACUUUGUUAAAUUGCAUCCCAUGCUCUUGAAGGUGUUGAGAAUUUUGAUGGGAUUCUUAGGAAUUUCUUCUUAUGUUAUGGAUGUGAUGAUCUGUAUUCAGAGUUGUGGAGAGCUUGUGCUGGUCCUAUUGUUGAUGUCCUUGUGUUCAUUUUGUCUUUCGAUAACAUAUUUUCUCUCUCUUUUUAACAGCAGCAGUUUAAGGUUUACAGAUGAACAUGGAUUUCGACUCUAUAUCGUCUCAAGUUUUUCCUGUCAUGCUGGAAACUCCUGAUAGUCAUAUAGAUAUCAUCCAAAGAAGAUAAGCACAAGAAGGAAGUUAUGUUACUUUCUGUCAAUUGUAAACAUUCUGAUUACACCUCCUUUAAACCAGAGAAGCAGCAACCUCAGAUGGCUGCUGAUAACAGUGUUUCUACAGCUUCUGAAGGCCAGCCACAGAGACCAACUUUUGAGGUGGUGGAGAUCUACAAAUCAUCCGUUUCUGUGAAUCCUAUCUUAGGUGCUUUGGGAGUUGAUACAGGAAGAUAUUUUAGUGCAUCGAGGCAACUGAUAUUGUUUCUAGUUAUGUUGAAUAUUCAGAAUUUGGUAAAGCCAAAGCCAUUGUGGUUUUGGAUGCAACUCUAUGUGAUGCUCCCACCAAAUGAAAAGGGUA